rfam:Asian citrus Psyllid, Diaphorina citri - Florida Strain, whole genome shotgun sequence.
GCCUAGUAAGCUUAGUUGAUAGUGCGUCUGCCUUGUAAGCGCUAGGCCGCGGGUUCGAUUCCCGCCCGGGGCG